GACGAACGCUGGCGGCGUGCUUAACACAUGCAAGUCGAACGGAAAGGCCCUGCUUUUGUGGGGUGCUCGAGUGGCGAACGGGUGAGUAACACGUGAGUAACCUGCCCUUGACUUUGGGAUAACUUCAGGAAACUGGGGCUAAUACCGGAUAGGAGCUCCUGCUGCAUGGUGGGGGUUGGAAAGUUUCGGCGGUUGGGGAUGGACUCGCGGCUUAUCAGCUUGUUGGUGGGGUAGUGGCUUACCAAGGCUUUGACGGGUAGCCGGCCUGAGAGGGUGACCGGCCACAGUGGGACUGAGAUACGGGCCAGACUCCUACGGGAGGCAGCAGUGGGGAAUAUUGCACAAUGGGCGGAAGCCUGAUGCAGCAACGCCGCGUGCGGGAUGACGGCCUUCGGGUUGUAAACCGCUUGCGCCUGUGACGAAGCGUGAGUGACGGUAAUGGGUAAAGAAGCAACGGCUAACUACGUG
rnacentral:rRNA from 1 species